GGAGGUUGGCUUAGAAGCAGCCACCCUUUAAAGAGUGCGUAAUAGCUCACUGGUCUAGUGGUCUUGCGCCGAAAAUGUAACGGGGCUCAAGUCAUACACCGAAGCUACGAAUUUCAUCUACAAACUUAACAAAUUAAGGCUGUAAGCGGCCCUUCUUUCGAGAAGGAAAGUGAUAAAGCUGAAACGUUAAGUUUUAUACGAGAUGGAGUGGUAGGGGAGCGUUCUGUAGGAGAUCAGAAAACAGGGUUGACCGUGAGGACAACUUUCGGCCUACAGAAGUGAGAAUGUCGGCAUGAGUAGCAAAAAACAUGUGAGAAUCAUGUUCACCGUAUGUCUAAGGUUUCCGACGGAAGGUUCGUCCGCGUCGGGUUAGUCGGGCCUAAGCCGAGGCCGAAAGGCGUAGGCGAUGGACAACAGGUUAAUAUUCCUGUACCACCAAUAUGGAGCGAUGGGGAGACGCAGUAGGGUAGGCCAGCCGGGUGAUGGUUGUCCCGGUGCUGAACUUGUAGGGCUAUGAUCCUUGUAGGUAAAUCCGCAAGGGGAGUCUGAGGAGUUGUAUGCGGUGCCCUAAGGGCCGGAAGUGGUUGAGCCCAUGCUGCCGAGAAAAACCUCUAAGUGUUGAAGUAUUGGUGUCCGUACCGUAAACCGACACAGGUAGACGGGUAGAGUAUACCAAGGCGAUCGGGAGAACCCUCGUUAAGGAACUAGGCAAAAUCGAUCCGUAACUUCGGGAGAAGGAUCGCCCUGGUUGGUGAAAAGCUUUGCGCUUGGAGCUGAUCGGGGCCGCAGUGAAAUGGCCCUGCCGACUGUUUAACAAAAACACAGGUCUCUGCAAACUCGCAAGAGGAAGUAUAGGGGCUGACGCCUGCCCAGUGCCGGAAGGUUAAGAGGAAGGGUGCAAGCUCUGAAUUGAAGCCCCGGUGAACGGCGGCCGUAACUAUAACGGUCCUAAGGUAGCGAAAUUCCUUGUCGGGUAAGUUCCGACCCGCACGAAAGGCGUAACGAGUGGGGCACUGUCUCAACGAGGGACCCGGUGAAAUUGAACUAUGCGUAAAGAUGCGUAUUACCCGCAGAAGGACAAAAAGACCCCGUGGAGCUUUACUGCAGCUUGAUAUUGAGUUAGGGCUUGGUUUGUGUAGGAUAGCUGGGAGGCUGAGAAGCUGGCACGCUAGUGUCGGUGGAGUCGCCCUUGAAAUACCAGCCUGAUUAAGUUUUGGCCCUAACGGCUGGCCGUGAUCCGGCAGCCGGACAGUGUCAGGUGGGCAGUUUGACUGGGGCGGUCGCCUCCGAAAGUGUAACGGAGGCGCCCAAAGGUUCCCUCAGGCUGAAUGGAAACCAGCCAAAGAGUGUAAAGGCAUAAGGGAGCUUGACUGCAAGACCUACAAGUCGAGCAGAGACGAAAGUCGGGCUUAGUGAUCCCACGGUUCCGAGUGGAAGGGCCGUGGCUUACCGGAUAAAAGCUACUC
rnacentral:rRNA from 1 species